CUUGUCACCCCCAGGGGCUGGCUAUGUUUGACUGAAGCCACGCCCCUUCUCAACUUCCACCUCGAGGAGGUCCCCAAAGCCAACCCAAUGACCAGACAAACACGAGAACAGGGAGACUGCAGCCACGGGCAGGCAGGGACAAGGGCAACGGGGGUGCAGACCACCGUAAGCCGGGGGGAGGGGAAACGUCAGGCUCCGGCCUGGUCCCUGCUAUCCGUGGCGCCCUCCUUCUUCCUUCCUGGAGGCAGAGUACAAACAGUGUGACUGGUGGCCGCUGGGACACAAAAGCACUGAUAACUUGGACUCGGGGUAUUUCUCACCGGCUCUGCUGUUUACAGCUCUCUUGGUAGGUAUCACUUUCCACAGU